GCCAGUCUCUAGGGUGGGCUGCCUGCCCUGGCUGAGCUGGAUUAAAUCGGUUCUCUAGCGGGUGGAGCAGACCCUGGGCUAGCAGGCCUCAGGGAGAACUCCAAUGGCAUCUGUGUCAGCACGCUCGCACCAGGCCACAACAAUGGCCGCCGCUAAUGUCCCAGUCCCUGGAGAGGUCUCACCCCUCACCAAGAUGCACUCAGGGCUUAUUAGAGGAAAGACCGUGUGAGAAGGCAGAGAGAAGGCAGCCGUUACAAGCCAGGAAGAGAGCUCUCACCAGAAACUGAAUCUGCUGGCACCUUGAUCAUGGACUUCUAGACUGCAGAGCUGUGAGAGAAUAAAUCUCACUUGCUCUGGGGAAGCCAGCUGCCUUGCCUUGAGAAACUCAGAUGGCUCUGUGGAGAGCCCACUUGACAAAGAACCGAGGCCUCCAUCCAACCGGGAACUGAGACCUGUCAACCACCACAUAAGUGAACUUGAAAGUGGAUCCUUCAGGCCCAGUCGAACCUUGAGAUACUGGAGUCUGGGUCAACAGUUGACUGCAACCUGAUAACCCUAGGCCAGAAUCUCCCUGCUAAGCUCCUCUCGUAGAAACCAUGUGAUAACAAGUGUUUGUUGUUUUAAGCUGGUACGUUUGGGGGUGAUUGGCUAGGCAGUAACAGGUAACUGAUACAGGGGUUAUGUAUUUUAGAUUUAUUUUAAUCUAUAGGUUUCCCCUCCAUCUCGCUCUCUUUGCAACUUAUUUGGUGAAGAAACAAGAUUGUUCGGCCUGGAAAUGUGCUCACCAUCUGGAUUCUGCUGAUUACACUCCACGAUGUUGCUCACCGUGUCCCUCUGUCCUGUCUGUGCUGUAGGCUGGCAUUGGUCUCCCUGUGCUGUGCAGUACGGUAGCCGUUAGCCCCGUGUGUCUGUUGGGCACCUGGAAUGUGGCUGGCACAACUGGAGAACCGAGCUUUUUAUUUAGUUUAAUUUGAAUUAAUUUAAAUUUUAAAAUGGAUAAUUGAUUCAGUUACUGGAAAACUUUUGAGUAUGUUCAGAACAACUUUUUCAGUUGUGAAUCUUAUAACUCUAAAUAUGAGUCAAGGGCCGGCCCGGUGGUGUAACAGGUAAGUUGGCGUGUCCUGCUUCCUCGGCCUGGGGUUCGCUGGUUUGGAUCCUGGGCCCGGACCUACUCACCACCAUGCUGAGGCGGCAUCCCAUACAGAGGAGCUACAGCUCUACAACUGUGACACACAACUGUGUGCUGGGGCUUUGGGAACAAAAAAAAGAAAAAGAGGAAGAUUGGCAGCAGAUGUCAGCUCAGGGCCAAUUUUCCUCAAAAAAACAAAACCCAAAAAAACAAAAAACAAGCGAAAAAAGAGAUAAAUAUGUGUCAAAUAUUUCCAAUGGAUGUUUAGCAUCUAAAUUGAAAUGUGUUCUAAGCGUAAAAUACAAACGAUUUCAAAGACAUAGUCCAAAAAGAAAGUAUGUAAAAUAUCUCAUUACUAUUUUUAUAUUGAUUACAUAUUGAAACAAUAUUUUGGACAUAUUGGGCCAAAUAAAACAUAUUAUUAAAAUUAAUUCCACCGGUUUCUUUUUACAUUUUUAAAGUGGUUACUACUAGAAAAGUUUAAAUUAUAAAGUGGCUCACCUUGAAUGUCUUGCUGAGAGUCAGGUUGCAUUUUUUUGGAAAGACUGUUUCAUAGGUGGCGUGGCAUUCUUCCAUCAAAGGCUCAAAUCUGGUUGUCUUGUUAAAAUCUUGUCAGACAUUGAUGUUCAAGACUUAAAUCCAAUCCAUUAUUGGGGAUUGCAAAAUGGUGAUAUUCUUAUUCUGUUUAUUUAUUUUAUUUAUUUUAAAGCUUCAGUGCAUGGCUGUGUAUCCUAGUUGUUAGUUUAGUAGUUCUCUGUGUGAGCCGCCGCCACUGUAUGACAACUGACAGACAGGUGGUGUGAUUCCACACCCGUGCGCGGCGGUGAGAGCACUGAAUCUUAACCACUAGAUCAUCAGGGCUGGCUCUUUUUUUUUUAACCAGCGGAAAUAUGCCUAUAGAAGGAAACUUGUUCUCUUCUACUAUGAUUACCCUGAAGCAUAGUUUGUGGAGGAAGGACAGGACAAAUUGCUUAAAGUUUUCCCUUUAUUUGCUUUUUUUUGUGUGUGAGGAAGAUCAGCCCUGAGCUAACAUCCAUGCCAAUCCUCCUCUUUUUGCUGAGGAAGAGGCUAACAUCCGUGCCCAUCUUCUUCCACUUUAUAUGGGAUGCCGCCACAGCAUGGCCUGACAAGCGAUGCGUCGGUGCCGGCGUGGGAUCUGAACCCCAGGCGGUCAGCAGCGAGCGCGCGCACUUAACCGCUACGCCACGGGGCCGGCCCCUCCCUUCAUUUGUUAAUUUUCAAAGUAAUGAGUUGGUUCCUCAGCAUCCUUCAAUGGUGAUUAAGUAUUACUUUUAGAACCAUUAUGAACUCAUGGAUUUUAAACAUGUUUAAUGGGGUGUAAUCCAAUGCAGUUAUUCUCCUUCUUGAUGCUGUUUUGAUAAAUUGGUGUCUUAAAGAGACACAGAAGGGUCGUGAUAGAUCUUUAGGAAAAGCUACAGAGAUGCAGAGGAGGGAUGCCCUGGACCAGCCUGGCAGGUUGGCAGGUCAAAAGAGGUGUCCUGGAAGUGAGACCUGAACUGAGUCUUAAAAAUUCCCCUCCCGAUGAUAAAGAAGGGCAGGGUCCCUCCAGCGGGAGGGGCAGUCUGCGCAAAGCCCAGAGCUGAGAAACAGCCUGCUUUCAAGAAUAAGCGGUUCUGGGUUGCAUCCAUCCUGUAGUCAGGGGCUGGCCAACCAGGGGAGAGUUUUAGGCAGGAGAGUGACAGGUUUGCCUUGUGAAUAGAGGCAGCCCUCUGGUGGCCACAUGGAGGAUGGCAGGGAGGGAAGAAGCCCUGAGAGGAGGCAAGAAGCUGAGCCCAUAAGGCUUCUUUAGCUCAUAUAUUUGUAAGUCAGACUAUUCCAGAUCAGGAGGAGAAAUUGCACAGUGUUGGGGCUUAUUAUCCCGCUACACGGGAGGAGAAAUGGUACAGGGAAGCCCCUUAACGGCUCUGCACUAUGGGGCCCAGGCCUCUUGAAAAUAGAAUAGAUCCUUCAGGACCGUCUAGUGAUCAAUCUCUGUGCACCUGGCUCGUGUCCUUCCUCAAAGAGAAGAUUCCAUGGUGAAUGCUUGUCACCACCCAACAUGGAGCAUCCUUUUUCUUUUUUUUUUUUUUUUCGGUGAGGAAGAUUAGCCCUGAGCUAACAUCUGUCACCAGUCCUCCUCUCUUUUGCUGAGGAAGCUUGGCCCUGGGCUAAUAUCCAUGCCCAUCUUACUCUACUUUAUAUGUGGGGCGCCUGCCACAGCAUGGCUUGAUAAGCAGUGCGUAUGUCCGCGCCUAGGAUCCGAACCUGUGAACCCGGGGCUGCUGAAGAGGAGCGCACGAACUUAACCACUACACCACGGGGCCUGCCCCAUGGAGCAUCCUUUUUCUAAUUUGCCCAAAGACCCACCUCUGGAUGGAUGCAGCCCCCAGGAACAAGCAGACAGUACUUUUGUGUAAAUUUUUUAAAAGGUACCUAUUGUGAGUUGAAUUGUAUCCUCCAAAAAGAUGCAUUGACGUCCUAACCCCUAGCACCUGUAAAAGUGACCUUAUUUGAAAGUAAGUUCUUCGCAGAUGUAAUCAAGUUAAGAUCAGGUCAUACUUAAUAAGAGUGGGCCCUAACCAAACAUGACUGGUGUCCUAUAAGAAGAGGGACAUUUGGACACAGACAUGGAGGGAGAAGGCCAUGUGAUAACAGAAGCAAAGAUUAGGGUGAUGCAGUUGUAAACCAAGGGCUGAUGGCCACCACCAGGAGCUAGAAGACAGAAGGAAGGAUUUCUCUCGUACAGGUUUCAGAGGGAGCAUGGCCCUGCUGACGCCUUGAUUUUGGCCUCCAAACUGUGAUAUAACAAAUUUUUGUUGUUUUACGUCACCAGGUGAGUGGUACUUUGUUACGGCAACCCUAGGAAGCUAAUACGGCACCCUUUCUUCCCAUGAUGGAUGCAGCCCCAUGUCUGGCUCUGUGAAGGGAACCCUUCUUCAUUCCCAUCCCCAGCUGGGCAUCCUAGCACAGAGCACAACCUGUGCUACGUGAGCCUGCCAAGGUUUACACCAAAUAAGUGCUGAAUACAGGAAGCCAUGCUGUGCCUUGAUGGUGGGAGUUCCAAGGAUGCUGGGCAGAACUCUAGUUACGAAGCAGAGCCGAGUUAGAGACGGGUGGGAAGCUGGGUUGGGCUCUGUCUCUGGGCUACUUCAAAUGCUGUGCUGAGGAGUUUCUACCCUCUAGCAAUGAGGAUCCAGUGACAGUGAGUAGGGACAGUGACAUGAUGACAACAGUGUUUUAGGAAGAGCAUCGUGACAGUAUGAGAAAGCAUUAUAUGGGAGAUGAGAGGCAAGACCUCUGAUCUCUGAGGAGAGGUCCCAGAGGGAUGGGGGCAUGGAGGAAGAGAAGAAGCUGACAACCACUCGGAAGGAAGACAGCAGAGGCCAGGAAGUCUGACUGGGGUUCUGGAAGGCGGAGAGAGAGGAAGGAGGCAAAGGUGACUCUGGCAUCUCCAGCGUGCAAAUGGGGAAUGGUAAUUACCUCUGGGGGCAGCAGGCAGUUCAGGAUACGGAGCUCACUAGAUACGCAGAUGCCGUGUACUGCCUGUAGAAGGGUUGACUUUUCAGGGCCGGAGGGAUGAGCAGGGGAGGAAGACCCACGGGCUAGAGCUCGGGAGGAAGGACCAGUAGAAGUACAAGAGAGGAGACUGCUGGGGUCCCAAAGCACGUUAGGGUCUGCAUAAGUGGUGGCCGAAUGGCACCAGGCACAGGGCUCAAGCCUGAGCCCUGCGGGAUUCUCUGUCCGGGUCUGGAGCUUCCAGAACAACUGCCGUGGUGCCCUAACAUCCCGCAGCCACGGCCUGCUGGGUCAACUCCUCUCCUGCUUCUGAAGUUCUGGCCUCUCUCCUCUUUCUCC